GAAAGCUUGCCAAGAAAACUGCAGGGACUUUCUAGGAAUCAACUUUGACUUGAAGGCACCCCCUCCCAAAAAAAGAUGUAACAUAAGGCCUGUUCAAUCAGACCUACAGUAUAUACGCUCCACAGUUCUCCAUCAGCACAGAAGGGCAUCCCAAAUCAACUAAGAUUCAACCUCCUAUGGUUGCAAAAAUGUUUUUUUAAAGUGUAUGACAAUGUCUGACGAAGUUGGUUGGAUAAGACUAUAGGAUUAAACUUUUGGCUGCAUCUGAUAGCCAUGAGGAAUGUGUCAACCCUGACAGAAUGCAUCAGAUAACCUUCAUUCAUUACCAACACAUGAAAGCCAUUUUAAUAGUAAAUGUACUUGAUUGUA